AGCUUCUUCCUCAGCUCGCUUUGUCGGAAAGCAAACUCGGGAAGGCGCG
rnacentral:pre_miRNA from 1 species